CAUGAAAUGUCUAUCAUCUCUUCAUGAUAAGUAUGUCGUUGUUCCUGCGGACAAAGCUUCAAAUAAUAUUGUGUUUGUAUGUAAAUCGUAUUACUACGAAUGUCUUGUUAAAGAAUUAGGUAUAAAAAAGCACUCAUGUAAUCCAACAUGCAAAGACACAUCAUUUGACAAGGAUGAGAGUUUAGCAAAUCAUAAGUACUUCAUGGCUUCAAUAAACAUUACAUUGAACACCAAAUCGGAGGACUUACCUUGUUUUUAUUGGAUACCAAAGCUUCAUAAAAUUCUGUACAAACAACGGUAUAUUACUGGCUCAUUUUCAUGUUCCACUAAAGAAUUGUCCAUUAGAUUAACUAAAAUUAUAUCCGCAGUGAAAGAGGGUCUUCAGAAAUACUGUGAAACUGUUUACUCGCUUAGUGGUACUAACCAUAUGCGGAUUCUAAAAAACAUCUAGACAAUUUUAAAUCUCGGUCUUUUUCUGAAAUUUAUUUCUAUUAAAACUUUUGAUUUUUCAACCCUGUACAUCACCAUUCCCCAUGUGAAAUUGAAAAAUCGCCUAAAAAAAUAAUACACAAUGCCUUUCAACAUGAAAAUGGUAGCAUACGCUAUAUUUGUUUUACUUUGGGGUUUCAUAAGGCAUAUUUCGUUAAAAGUGACAAACAAAAAGGUAAAACAUGCUACACUGAAGAACAAGUGAUCAGUAUGCUGGAGUUUCUUAUCGACAACAUAUUUGUUGAGUUUGGAGGUAGACUUUUCCAACAAAUUGUCGGCAUUCCUAUGGGAACAAACUGUGCGCCUCUUCUUGUAUACCUCUAUUUAUUUUCAUAUGAAUCGGAGUUACUUCAGACACUUGUCAAAAACAAGAAGAUCAAAGAUGCCAGAUUAUUUAAUUUCACUUUCAGAUAUAUUGAUGAUGUUCUUUCCAUAAACAAUCCGAACUUUUCUGAUUGGGUUCCAAUAAUAUGCCCCAGAACUAGAAAUUAAAGAAACAACAUACACGGCUCCCUCCGCCUCAUUUUCAGACUUAUAUCUCGAAUUUGACUAACACAGUCAUCUCAGUACCAGAAUAUAUGACAGACGAGACGAUUUUAAUUUUGAAAUUAUAAAUUUUCCCCACCUUAAUAGCAAUAUACCAACUUCACCUGCAUAUGGGAUAUAUAUUUCCCAAUUUGUCGAUAUUCAAGAGCUUGCAGCUCCUACUCAGACUUUGUUAAACGUCAUCAGUGUCUGGAUAGAAAGUUGAUGAACCAGG
rnacentral:lncRNA from 1 species